rnacentral:rRNA from 1 species
CGAACGGGUGAGUAACGCGUGGAUAACCUGCCCUGAGGUGUGGAACAACCGGGGGAAACUCCGGCUAAUACCACAUGAUACCGAGAGGUCAAAGCGGGCUCGCAAGAGCUCGCGCCAUAGGAGGGGUCCGCGUUCGAUUAGCUAGUUGGUAGGGUAAUGGCCUACCAAGGCGACGAUCGAUAGCCGGCCUGAGAGGGUGAUCGGCCACACUGGAACUGAGACACGGUCCAG